AGGACGAACGCUGGCGGCGUGCUUAACACAUGCAAGUCGAGCGGAAAGGCCCUUCGGGGUACUCGAGCGGCGAACGGGUGAGUAACACGUGAGUAACCUGCCCCUAGCUCUGGGAUAGCUCCGGGAAACCGGGAUUAAUACCAGAUACGACCACUUUAGACAUCUGUCGUGGUGGAAAGGAUUCCGGCUAGGGAUGGGCUCGCGGCCUAUCAGCUUGUUGGUGGGGUAACGGCCUACCAAGGCGACGACGGGUAGCCGGCCUGAGAGGGCGACCGGCCACACUGGGACUGAGACACGGCCCAGACCCCUACGGGAGGCAGCAGUGGGGAAUAUUGCGCAAUGGGCGAAAGCCUGACGCAGCGACGCCGCGUGGGGGAUGAAGGCCUUCGGGUUGUAAACCCCGUUUCAGCAGGGACGAAGCGAAAGUGACGGUACCUGCAGAAGAAGCGCGGCUAACUACGUGCCAGCAGCCGC
rnacentral:rRNA from 1 species